CCUACGGGUGGCAGCAGUGAGGAAUAUUGGUCAAUGGACGAGAGUCUGAACCAGCCAAGUAGCGUGAAGGAUGACUGCCCUAUGGGUUGUAAACUUCUUUUAUAUGGGAAUAAAACGUUCCACGUGUGGGAUUUUGUAUGUACCAUAUGAAUAAGGAUCGGCUAACUCCGUGCCAGCAGCCGCGGUAAUACGGAGGAUCCGAGCGUUAUCCGGAUUUAUUGGGUUUAAAGGGAGCGUAGGUGGAUUGUUAAGUCAGUUGUGAAAGUUUGCGGCUCAACCGUAAAAUUGCAGUUGAGACUGGCAGUCUUGAGUACAGUAGAGGUGGGCGGAAUUCGUGGUGUAGCGGUGAAAUGCUUAGAUAUCACGAAGAACUCCGAUUGCGAAGGCAGUUCACUGGACUGCAACUGACACUGAGGCUCGAAAGUGUGGGUAUCAAACAGGAUUAGAUACCCCAGUAGUC
rnacentral:rRNA from 1 species